rnacentral:lncRNA from 1 species
AGUGCGCCCUCGGGAACCGGGGAUCUGGCUGUGAGGCGGCGUGGCGCGGGGCGGGAACCUAGUGGCCACGGAACGGCGCCGUGGGUACACUCCGGGGUUUCUGUGCAUUAGGCUUGUGCAAGAAACUAACGGGGUAAAAGUGUGACCUCGCCACUCAGAACAGCCAGGUUUCUGGUUCAAGGAUGAGAAGCAGGGAGUGGACCGAGUAUUCAAAUAAGUGUCCGGUAGGUCGGAGCGAGGAUGUAAUCUGAAGGCCUGGGUAGGAACCCAAACUCAAGUCAUAAAUGAAAAGGGCCUGUCAGGGAAGGUUAUCCACGUGUUACUUUUACCUCAUGUAUACUGAAAGUAUGGAAACCGGCUAAAAGAUGUGACACUUGAAAACGAAUUUUCUCAUAGCAGGAUGUAGGAGUUAAUGAAGAAGCCCAGGGAAAGAAAAAAGAAAAAAAAAAAAAAAGAAUAUGUUCCAAGUUAACCUUCCUUGCCUCCAGCCCAUUGCUAUUUGCACAAAGCCUUGGAGAAUUGCAGCAGCGAGACUUAUUUCUUGGCUCCUGUCCAAAUGAGCUUGUUCCAAAAAGUCUGGAUGCUGGAAAUCAAGGCACAUCGUUUCACUUUUCUCCACAGUAAUUACAGGGGUUUCAGGAGGCUCUGGCUUCUAUUGCUCACGACUUUAUUAAUAUGAGCAUUCAUUAACUCAGGCACAAAGAAUGGAUUUUGUUAAAGGACUCACCGCUAUAUUACACUUUGUAAGUUUCCUGAGUUUGAUUAUUAAGUUAUGUAUUGAAAACAAGGAACAACUGUUUAAGACACCUCUAUUUAAAAAAAUGAUUGACAGUGUCAUACAGGGGCUUAUAUUGUGAAAUAAGGUAUCAGGUUGAUAGAGUGUUAUUUCUAGGGUUGAUACUAAAUUUAUAACCUACCAGAUUAAAAGAAAUUUACUUCAGUGUCUGCCAAAGACAAUAACAGUAAUUUCAUCACUAGCAUACUUAUUAAUUAGAAGACACACGGAGCUACAGUAUUGGAUUGCUUGUCCCUGAGAUGUGGGGCAUGCUUCCCAAUCAGUUUUUCCAUGGAGUGUCACUGGUUAUAUCACCCACAAUCCAGGGCAGUCCUUGGGCCCACCAGUAGUUGGCUAACACACAAAAAAACGAACUCUGUGGUUAUGUUGUUUGUGGAGUUUUUGUUUUACUUUGACAUUUUUGUUGUUGUUGUACUGAUCUUUUGCUUGUUCCAGGUUUCAUUUUUGUGCUUUUGAGUGGUAUUUUAAAAAGAUUUGGGAGGUAAGAAGUUGAAUGAUAGGGAGGUUCUGGGAAAAAUUAGGGAGAGGAAAAAUGAUCAAAAUAUACUGUAUGAGAAAAAUUAAAAGUGUGUACAAAAAGAAAAAA